ACAGUGUUACAAAAUAGAAUUUUCUGUGCAACGAAGAAACAUUUGUGCAACGAGCAGAUUGAAUUAAUUUUUUAAUUUCAACGAGACUUUCAGACGGUAAGAGAAAUGAUAAACGAGGAAUCUCUUACAAAUUAGAUUAAGAUAAAACGUCGUUAAAUGGGGAGUUUCUUGCAUAAUUUCACUGAGCAGAACACAUGGCAACAUUUCACGAAUUGAAUCCGGACGAGGCGUGUACUUCCAUAUGCAACCGUAUAGCCUUUGAAUACGAUCGGACUGGACGAUAAACUGGCGAGAAAUUAGCUGUAUAAAUCACACGCGGAAUACUAUAAUGACAAAAUCUAAUGUACAGGCGCCGUUGGGAGAUCGGAGUUCAACUAAUUUUCAGAAACUCUAAGGAUACAAUCGUGCAAAAUUAGAUGCAAUCCCCGGGAGAACGGACGAAAAUCCACCAAGUAACCAAAUAUCCUGAAUCGAAAUGGUUCUCUUUGACAUACAUAUGUAAUAUGUAACGUAAUAUCAUAUACAAGAGAUAGAUGGGGAUGAGAACG